rnacentral:rRNA from 1 species
ACGAACGCUGGCGGCACGCUUAACACAUGCAAGUCGAACGAGAGAAGAGAAGCUUGCUUUUCUGAUCUAGUGGCGGACGGGUGAGUAACACGUGAGCAAUCUGCCUUUCAGAGGGGGAUACCGAUUGGAAACGAUCGUUAAUACCGCAUAACAUAAUUGAACCGCAUGAUUUGAUUAUCAAAGAUUUAUCGCUGAAAGAUGAGCUCGCGUCUGAUUAGCUAGUUGGUAAGGUAACGGCUUACCAAGGCGACGAUCAGUAGCCGGACUGAGAGGUUGAUCGGCCACAUUGGGACUGAGACACGGCCCAGACUCCUACGGGAGGCAGCAGUGGGGAAUAUUGCACAAUGGAGGAAACUCUGAUGCAGCGAUGCCGCGUGAGGGAAGAAGGUUUUAGGAUUGUAAACCUCUGUCUUUGGGGACGAAAAAUGACGGUACCCAAGGAGGAAGCUCCGGCUAACUACGUGCCAGCAGCCGCGGUAAUACGUAGGGAGCGAGCGUUGUCCGGAAUUACUGGGUGUAAAGGGAGCGUAGGCGGGAUCGCAAGUCAGAUGUGAAAACUAUGGGCUUAACCCAUAAACUGCAUUUGAAACUGUGGUUCUUGAGUGAAGUAGAGGUAAGCGGAAUUCCUAGUGUAGCGGUGAAAUGCGUAGAUAUUAGGAGGAACAUCAGUGGCGAAGGCGGCUUACUGGGCUUUAACUGACGCUGAGGCUCGAAAGCGUGGGGAGCAAACAGGAUUAGAUACCCUGGUAGUCCACGCCGUAAACGAUGAUUACUAGGUGUGGGGGGACUGACCCCUUCCGUGCCGCAGCAAACGCAAUAAGUAAUCCACCUGGGGAGUACGACCGCAAGGUUGAAACUCAAAGGAAUUGACGGGGGCCCGCACAAGCAGUGGAGUAUGUGGAUUAAUUCGAAGCAACGCGAAGAACCUUACCAGGUCUUGACAUCGUAUGCAUAGCUCAGAGAUGAGUGAAAUCUCUUCGGAGACAUAUAGACAGGUGGUGCAUGGUUGUCGUCAGCUCGUGUCGUGAGAUGUUGGGUUAAGUCCCGCAACGAGCGCAACCCUUACUGUUAGUUGCUACGCAAGAGCACUCUAGCAGGACUGCCGUUGACAAAACGGAGGAAGGUGGGGAUGACGUCAAAUCAUCAUGCCCCUUAUGACCUGGGCCUCACACGUACUACAAUGGCUGUCAACAGAGGGAUGCAAAGCCGCGAGGUGGAGCGAACCCCUAAAAGCAGUCUUAGUUCGGAUUGUAGGCUGCAACCCGCCUACAUGAAGUCGGAAUUGCUAGUAAUCGCAGAUCAGCAUGCUGCGGUGAAUACGUUCCCGGGCCUUGUACACACCGCCCGUCACGCCAUGGGAGUCGGUAACACCCGAAGCCUGUAGUCUAACCGCAAGGAGGACGCAGUCGAAGGUGGGAUUGAUGACUGGGGUG